UUAGACCUCAAAUCAGAUCAGACGACGCGCUGAAUUUAAG
rnacentral:rRNA from 1 species